AAGAAAAAAAAAUUAAAAAUGCCUCUAUGUUGGUAAGAACUCAUAUGUCUAUUUUUUUUUUUUGCAUGACGUGAUAAAAUGUUUUAUCUUCUGAGUACGUGGAAUCUUCCUGGGACUGGGGGUAAGCAAGGUGUGUUACUUUACAGAAGGCGCAGCAGCUUCUAACACGCUGAAAGCAUCUCCUGGGCAGCCCCUGGGGCCCUGUGUACUCUCCACGGAAUGCUCUUCCACUCUAAGUCUAUGGUGCUUCUGACACUCCAGACCAGGAGGAAUUGCCUUUAAGACUGUAUUUUGGGGCUGAAGAGGGUUGCCCAGUGGUUAAGAGCAUGCCCUGUCUCCACAGAGAGCCUGCGUUAAUUCCCAGCACCCAUGUCAGCUGACUCACAACCACUUUGAACUCCAGCUUCAGAGCUGCUGAUACCCUUUUCCGUUCUCCUCCAGCGCCGACAGGCAGAAUAUUGGACAUGUCGGAUAUGUGUCUUCGGGAAGGUGUUUCUACACACAUCCCACAGGCCAGCAACCCCUCUACUUUCCUCCUGAGAGAAGGGCCAGGAAUAAUCACAGCUGCCAGCAGCAGAUUUCAUGACAGUCACCUCUGAGGUAAGGCUGCAAACAAAGACUUAACAUUGCGGUGUUGGGUGAGUUUGUGGUGACAAUGCCCAUGCCCACAGAGGCCAAUCUUUAAAAAAAGAGAAGAAGAAGUUGCUCACUUUGAAAUAGAAAUUCCACUAGGCAUGGUGAUGCACCCCUUUAUUCCCAGCUCUGGGGAGGAGACAGCCUGGCCUACAGAGUUCCAGGACAGUCAGAGCUAUAUGGGGAAACCUUCCUUGAAACCAAAAAGGGGGGAAAAAAAGACAUUCCCAUCACCCACUAACUGUUAAAGGGACAAGGGCUACGGUUGAAAUGAAGAAGCCUGUUGACAGUCUAACAUAUCGAUGGGAGCCUCAUUCAAAUUACGCAAGUUAAUUUGUACAUAAACCCCUCUUCAGGGGCACACACACAGAAAGUCAGCUAAACCAAGUCAAAGGUUCUGCCUAUAGUUUCUAGUGCCCCCUGCUGGUUACAGAAUAGAAUGCAUACUGGCCAAAUUUGAGCUCUGGGUCUUCAGAGAGGAAGUGAUUUCACUGGGGAAUGUGUUCCUGUAAAUUUACAUAUUUUAGCAUUUGUACAUAUGUAUUUACACACAUCCCUGCGUCCCCACAGGGAAAGGCACAAUCUACAAAGUGGCAAAUAGUGAGCCUGAUAUUUACAUAAUGAAAUCAAGAAACUUUGAUUUAAGAGGUUUAAACACAGAAUCUCAGGCAUCUUGGGUUAGCACAACGGUUUCCUUUUACUCCCCAGCCUAAGCAUUAACAGUGCAGCUUCUACCCCCACCCCCACCAAACUGAACUCCAGUGAAUUUGGCUGCUCGGUACAGGAUGCUAAGCUUUGGCCAUGAAGCUACCUCUCUCCUAAACACAUAAUAGCAAACUAGUUAAAUCACUCUGUUUUUCCCCUUAUGGAAAAUUCAGUCUACCAAUGAAAGCAAAACUAGGAAGGCUCUCGCUAGCAAGACAAUUAACUCUGUGAUUCCGUUGGCUAUCAGCUUGCUAUGGAGACUUUCUUACCAGCCACUACACUAACUGUCCUCAACGUACGAGUAAUGUCUCACACAUUUUACCUGUUUACAUUACUUCUGAAUUCAUAGACAACACUGUAAGGGUAGGACUUUGGUUUAGAAGCUAUUUAUUUUAAAUUAACAAUACAAAAGAGGAGGGUUCUUUGCACUAAAGUUCCCCUCCCAAGACUAAGCCAGGGGAAUUUGAAACAAAGUCUCUGUAGAGAACCUGACAGGAAGCCUUCAGCCAGAAUCCAGAGUCCCUGGCCACAUGUCCCCUCCGUCACUUUCCCAAGUAACAGUAUUUCUUUUUCUAGCUCUGUGAGGAAGCUAAAGAAAGCCUGUUGGGGAAAGAACUGGAGAACGGCCACAUUCACCAGCAACAGCUCACAAGGGGCAGAGGUCUACUUACCCACUGUCCAAUUGCAGCCCCUCAUCCUGAGGGACACAUGGAGUCUUGAGCCCCAGCUGCCUACCCCACAUUGCCCCAGUAGGUCCUGGCAUUUUCCUGCCACACAGGUGUUCAGGAGGUACUCCCACGGCACGGGGCUCUGGAGCAAGUCUUCCAUGCAGUUCAGAUCAGCCUGCACUCUGGACCAGG
rnacentral:sRNA from 1 species